GACGAACGCUGGCGGCGUGCUUAACACAUGCAAGUCGAACGAUGAUGCCCAGCUUGCUGGGUGGAUUAGUGGCGAACGGGUGAGUAACACGUGAGUAACCUGCCCCUGACUCUGGGAUAAGCGUUGGAAACGACGUCUAAUACUGGAUAUGAUCACUGGCCGCAUGGUCUGGUGGUGGAAAGAUUUUUUGGUUGGGGAUGGACUCGCGGCCUAUCAGCUUGUUGGUGAGGUAAUGGCUCACCAAGGCGACGACGGGUAGCCGGCCUGAGAGGGUGACCGGCCACACUGGGACUGAGACACGGCCCAGACUCCUACGGGAGGCAGCAGUGGGGAAUAUUGCACAAUGGGCGAAAGCCUGAUGCAGCAACGCCGCGUGAGGGAUGACGGCCUUCGGGUUGUAAACCUCUUUUAGUAGGGAAGAAGCGAAAGUGACGGUACCUGCAGGAAAAGCACCGGCUAACUACGUGCCAGCCGCCGCCGUAA
rnacentral:rRNA from 1 species